rnacentral:rRNA from 1 species
AGACCCGAAACCCGGUGAUCUAGCCAUGGGCAGGUUGAAGGUUGGGUAACACUAACUGGAGGACCGAACCGACUAAUGUUGAAAAAUUAGCGGAUGACCUGUGGCUGGGGGUGAAAGGCCAAUCAAACCGGGAGAUAGCUGGUUCUCCCCGAAAGCUAUUUAGGUAGCGCCUCGUGAAUUCAUCUCCGGGGGUAGAGCACUGUUUCGGCUAGGGGGCCAUCCCGGCUUACCAACCCGAUGCAAACUGCGAAUACCGGAGAAUGUUAUCACGGGAGACACACGGCGGGUGCUAACGUCCGUCGUGAAGAGGGAAACAACCCAGACCGCCAGCUAAGGUCCCAAAGUCAUGGUUAAGUGGGAAACGAUGUGGGAAGGCCCAGACAGCCAGGAUGUUGGCUUAGAAGCAGCCAUCAUUUAAAGAAAGCGUAAUAGCUCACUGGUCGAGUCGGCCUGCGCGGAAGAUGUAACGGGGCUAAACCAUGCACCGAAGCUGCGGCAGCGACACUCAGGUGUUGUUGGGUAGGGGAGCGUUCUGUAAGCCUGCGAAGGUGGCC